UUAACCGCUUCAAAAGUCCCUGAUGCACAAGCUGCCUAUGAAUCAGCUAAUACCUUGCAGGCAGCCGCCAUGUCAGGCGUUAACUUUAUGUUGCACACUG
rfam:Marine gamma proteobacterium HTCC2143 1100111000172, whole genome shotgun sequence.